rnacentral:ncRNA from 1 species
AUUGCAAUUGCCAAACCCGUUGCGAAGCGGGGACGGAAAGCCACGGGUCUUGGAUGUCGAGACAGCCGGGUUGCCGCCA